GUCAUGGCUGCACCAGCUAGAAGAGCAAGCUGCCUUUUCAUUUUGUAGGUGAAGAUUUGCGUGUAGCUUCCUGUUUAGCAAUGCAAAACACUGCUUACUACAGACCUGCAAGCAAGGUACUGGGUGAGGCACCUUCAGGUAAGCAGGGAGAAACCCAUCCCACUGUUAACUAGUGGGGUGGAGGGAUAGAUCCCAGUGUAAAUAACUAGAAAACAGCUGUGAAACAAAGCGAUUGACAGCACACGAGAGGCUGGGCAUAAACGCUAUGAGACUUCAAAGACUUGAUCACUGUCCCUGGUACCACCAACGGGGCAAGGAAUGUCCCAUGUAGGAAUAAUAUGCGAGUUCAACCUUGAACUUAGAUGGGCAGUGAAUACAUAUGGGGCAAGGGUAUCCGGGCCAGAGUGAGGAAGGCGGAGACUACUUUUAAUUGAAAACUUGGGGCAUAAUUACUUGACAUUGAGCAGGCCUUUUCAGAGGCAGUUGUGUAAAUUCCAGAAACGUCACAGUAUCAACUCACAGAUGUUUUGCAAUGGAAAAGGCAUUUCUAUGGCAUAGAUAUAGUAUCCCGUGUCACCAUGUCGCUUUGACUAGCUGCUAUUUCCUACCAUUCAGAGAACCGGAUGUUUGGUAAUAUUUUUUUUUUUUUUCAGCACACAGCGAUGGGGUCUCGGGGCCAUCUGUGUGCAAUGGCAUGCAUUGACGAUCAGUAAGACAAUUUAUCGCUUCUGAGAAAUCAGUGCCGCAGGAGGGGACUUGGAGUCCUCUUCUCUGGGAUCUAAGACUUCCCAUCUUUCCUAUGUGAGCCCAGAGAACUAACAUAUUCACGAAGACAUUUUCAGAGAAUCAUCGGUGGGCAUGUCUCCCAUUACACAGAAGGAAGAUGCCAACGUCACUUAAACUUGUUGGAACAAUUUGUUCUCCCUCUGACCAGCAUGGAACAUAAAAAGGACCUUUGGUAUUUGGUGUUGGAAAAAUGGCCUCUUGGAUCCAGAGCUCUUUAGGAGUCAUGGGUUCUUGGAUAGAAUUACUGAGAAAAAGAAGUCAGAAUUACCCAGGAGGCUGCGGGCUUUUGCUGAGAGGAACAGUGGAAUUCUGUGGGCUGGAGAAAUUCAGGCAGCUGGCAGUUGAACUUUAAGUACCACUGUAGCAGACACCAGCCUUCCCUCUCAGUCUCACUGGCCUUGAAGUGAUGAUAAUGACACAUUCGGAGCAGCUGGAGAUUUCUGUGGAGCCAGACUGCAGAGGUGA
rnacentral:lncRNA from 1 species